GACGAACCGUGCGAACGUUAUUCGGAAUUACUGGGCGUAAAGGGCGCGUAGGCGGCCGCUUGCGUCGGAUGUGAAAGCCCGGGGCUCAACCCCGGAACGGCAUCCGAUACGGGGCGGCUGGAGACCGGGAGAGGAGGGUGGAAUAGCCAGUGUAGAGGUGAAAUUCGUAGAUAUUGGCUGGAACACCGGUGGCGAAAGCGGCUCUCUGGCCCGGUUCUGACGCUGAGGCGCGAAAGCGUGGGGAGCAAACAGG
rnacentral:rRNA from 1 species